rnacentral:sRNA from 1 species
UGGCACCCACAGGCCCUACAGCUGCAGCGAAGGACCAAGGUGAUGGCCAAGUGUAUCUCUCCAAGUGCUGGGUACAGCAGUAGCACCAAUGUGCUCAUUGUGGGUGCAGAGACACUGCGGCAGGAGGGCUUCUCCGACCGGAUCGUCCUGUGCACGCUAGACCGGCACCUUCCCUACGACCGUCCCAAGCUCAGCAAGUCCCUGGACACACAGCCUGAGCAGCUGGCCCUGAGGCCCAAGGAGUUUUUCCGAGCCUAUGGCAUCGAGGUGCUCACCGAGGCUCAGGUGGUCACAUUGGACGUGAGAAAUAAGAAGGUCGUGUUCAAGGAUGGCUUCAAGCUGGAGUACAGCAAGCUGCUGCUGGCACCAGGGAGCAGCCCCAAGACUCUGAGCUGCAAAGGCAAAGAAGUGGAGAAUGUGUUCACCAUCCGGACGCCAGAGGAUGCCAAUCGCGUGGUGAGGCUGGCCCGAGGCCGCAAUGUGGUCGUCGUGGGAGCCGGCUUCCUGGGGAUGGAGGUGGCUGCUUACCUGACGGAGAAGGCCCACUCUGUGUCUGUGGUGGAGCUGGAGGAGACGCCCUUCAGGAGGUUCCUGGGGGAGCGCGUGGGUCGUGCCCUCAUGAAGAUGUUUGAGAACAACCGGGUGAAGUUCUACAUGCAGACGGAGGUGUCUGAGCUGCGGGGCCAGGAGGGAAAGCUGAAGGAGGUUGUGCUGAAGAGCAGCAAGGUCGUGCGGGCUGACGUCUGCGUGGUGGGCAUUGGUGCAGUGCCCGCCACAGGCUUCCUGAGGCAAAGCGGCAUCGGUUUGGAUUCCCGAGGCUUCAUCCCUGUCAACAAGAUGAUGCAGACCAAUGUCCCAGGCGUAUUUGCAGCUGGCGACGCUGUCACCUUCCCCCUUGCCUGGAGGAACAACCGGAAAGUGAACAUUCCACAUUGGCAGAUGGCUCAUGCUCAGGGGCGCGUGGCAGCCCAGAACAUGUUGGCGCAGGAGGCGGAGAUGACCACUGUGCCCUACCUCUGGACCGCCAUGUUUGGCAAGAGCCUGCGCUACGCGGGCUACGGAGAAGGCUUCGACGACGUCAUCAUCCAGGGGGAUCUGGAGGAGCUGAAGUUUGUGGCUUUUUACACUAAAGGCGACGAGGUAAUCGCCGUGGCCAGCAUGAACUACGAUCCCAUUGUGUCCAAGGUCGCUGAGGUGCUGGCCUCAGGCCGUGCCAUCCGGAAGCGGGAGGUGGAGACUGGCGACAUGUCCUGGCUUACGGGGAAAGGAUCCUGAGAUCACAUGCAGUAGACUUGGGCAGGCAAAGGGGGCACCAAGGGCAUAGGCCAAGCCUUGGGGGCAGGUGCCAAUCUCCAGUCCCAGGAUCCCCCAGGGCAGGACCUGAGCCCUCCCAGUGCUUGCCUUCAGCCACCUGGCUCCCCUCUUGGGAGGCCUCUGCUGGAUCCAGAAGAUGCUCAACCCUCAAGGCCUCUGCUGCCACUGACAGCUGGCACUGGAGGCAGGACAAGCCCUGCCUCUUCUCCCUCUAUUGGGACUGGUCCCCUGAAGAACCCUGCAACAUGUUAGACAUUACCGUAAAAUUAAAACGCACA